AUGAAUACAAGGGGAGAGUUUACUAACGAUUUAUUUUAGUAACGCCGAAGGAGCAAACAACUGUGAAUCUCUCAGGCAAAAAGACUCUUGUAGGACG
rnacentral:ncRNA from 2 species